rnacentral:lncRNA from 1 species
AGUUCGUGUCGGGUCCGAGUGAGGUUCUUAAGGGAACCAGAGGUGGAGACCGUAGAGGAUCUCACUUAUGUUGAGCAGCUAGUACGGACUGCAGACACACAAGUCAGAAAGUGUGGAAACAAGGAAAUCCCGAUGGUGACAGCCCCUUAGAAUCACCUUAAGAUGAAAAGUUCACCGGGGAGACCGAGAGUUUAUACUCCAGCAAUGACUGUGUCUCUCUUUUAGAAGAGAGGUUUUUAGGUUUUGCUUGCUUGUUG